rnacentral:lncRNA from 1 species
GGGGUGUUGCUGUCCUUGCGGCCGCGUCCUUUCCAGCUGUGUCUGCAUGUCCUUCUAAACAAAACCACUCCUUGAAGCAUAUUGAUCCUCAUGUUGUUGACACUGACUUCUUAAGUCAGGAAGGUUUUCAAAAUGGAUGCCUGGAAACCACUUCUUCUUCUCUACAUUUUCACCUUCUCUACAGAGGCAGAGGAGUCUGAAUGCAAUAUAGAUCUUUCUAUAGCAAUUGAUAUUUCAAGGAGUGUG